rnacentral:tRNA from 1 species
GGACGUAUGGCCUAGUGGUCAGGGUAUAACACUCACGAUGUUAAGUUCAAUUCCAGGACUGGGCGGUGCGUUCU